UACGUAGGGUGCGAGCGUUGUCCGGAAUUAUUGGGCGUAAAGAGCUCGUAGGCGGUCUGUCGCGUCUGCUGUGAAAACCCGAGGCUCAACCUCGGGCCUGCAGUGGGUACGGGCAGACUAGAGUGCGGUAGGGGAGAAUGGAAUUCCUGGUGUAGCGGUGGAAUGCGCAGAUAUCAGGAGGAACACCGAUGGCGAAGGCAGUUCUCUGGGCCGUAACUGACGCUGAGGAGCGAAAGCGUGGGGAGCGAACAGGAUUAGAUACCCUGGUAGUCCACGCCGUAAACGUUGGGCGCUAGAUGUGGGGACCAUUCCACGGUUUCCGUGUCGCAGCUAACGCAUUAAGCGCCCCGCCUGGGGAGUACGGCCGCAAGGCUAAAACUC
rnacentral:rRNA from 1 species